CAGGUGUCAUUGCUGCCCUAGGCGUGUGAAGGAACAGAGUCAAGCGGGUAUCCUCCUGGCAGCCUGUUGAGUCGCAUCAAGAUUUCAGGUACCGUGAGGAGGCGCAUAGCUGAAGUUUGGAAACGGCAGCACCGAAGCGGACAUAGAGAACAUGUCGCCGUCCACAUCCGGCUGACGAUGGAUUUUGUCCGGUCGUCUUGCAAAAGCUAA